rnacentral:rRNA from 1 species
AGAGUUUGAUCCUGGCUCAGGACGAACGCUGGCGGCACGCUUAACACAUGCAAGUCGAACGAGAGAAGAGGAGCUUGCUUUUCUGAUCUAGUGGCGGACGGGUGAGUAACACGUGAGCAAUCUGCCUUUCAGAGGGGGAUACCGAUUGGAAACGAUCGUUAAUACCGCAUAACAUAAUUGAACCGCAUGAUUUGAUUAUCAAAGAUUUAUCGCUGAAAGAUGAGCUCGCGUCUGAUUAGCUAGUUGGUAAGGUAACGGCUACCAAGGCGACGAUCAGUAGCCGGACUGAGAGGUUGAUCGGCCACAUUGGGACUGAGACACGGCCCAGACUCCUACGGGAGGCAGCAGUGGGGAAUAUUGCACAAUGGAGGAAACUCUGAUGCAGCGAUGCCGCGUGAGGGAAGAAGGUUUUAGGAUUGUAAACCUCUGUCUUCAGGGACGAAAAAAGACGGUACCUGAGGAGGAAGCUCCGGCUAACUACGUGCCAGCAGCCGCGGUAAUACGUAGGGAGCGAGCGUUGUCCGGAAUUACUGGGUGUAAAGGGAGCGUAGGCGGGAUCGCAAGUCAGAUGUGAAAACUAUGGGCUUAACCCAUAAACUGCAUUUGAAACUGUGGUUCUUGAGUGAAGUAGAGGUAAGCGGAAUUCCUAGUGUAGCGGUGAAAUGCGUAGAUAUUAGGAGGAACAUCAGUGGCGAAGGCGGCUUACUGGGCUUUAACUGACGCUGAGGCUCGAAAGCGUGGGGAGCAAGCAGGAUUAGAUACCCUGGUAGUCCACGCCGUAAACGAUGAUUACUAGGUGUGGGGGGACUGACCCCUUCCGUGCCGCAGCAAACGCAAUAAGUAAUCCACCUGGGGAGUACGACCGCAAGGUUGAAACUCAAAGGAAUUGACGGGGGCCCGCACAAGCAGUGGAGUAUGUGGAUUAAUUCGAAGCAACGCGAAGAACCUUACCAGGUCUUGACAUCGUAUGCAUAGCUCAGAGAUGAGUGAAAUCUCUUCGGAGACAUAUAGACAGGUGGUGCAUGGUUGUCGUCAGCUCGUGUCGUGAGAUGUUGGGUUAAGUCCCGCAACGAGCGCAACCCUUACUGUUAGUUGCUACGCAAGAGCACUCUAGCAGGACUGCCGUUGACAAAACGGAGGAAGGUGGGGAUGACGUCAAAUCAUCAUGCCCCUUAUGACCUGGGCCUCACACGUACUACAAUGGCUGUCAACAGAGGGAAGCAAAGCCGCGAGGUGGAGCGAACCCCUAAAAGCAGUCUUAGUUCGGAUUGUAGGCUGCAACCCGCCUACAUGAAGUCGGAAUUGCUAGUAAUCGCAGAUCAGCAUGCUGCGGUGAAUACGUUCCCGGGCCUUGUACACACCGCCCGUCACGCCAUGGGAGUCGGUAACACCCGAAGCCUGUAGUCUAACCGCAAGGAGGACGCAGUCGAAGGUGGGAUUGAUGACUGGGGUGAAGUCGUAACAAGGUA